rnacentral:rRNA from 1 species
AUGCAGCAAUUUCUUCAGGGACAAACCCAGUUGAUACAGUUACUUGUUCAGAACCAGAAAAACAACAACAACAAUAAUCCACCCCCACCCCCAGUUGAUGCACUUACUCGUUUCUUGAGGUUGAAUCCUCAGAGGUUUUCUCCUAUUGUGGCUGAUGAUUGGUUGCGCUCAGUUAAUAGGAAUUUGGACACAGUUGGUUGCACUGAUCCAGAGAGAGUGAGGUUUGCCUCGCAUUUGUUAGAAGGACCAGCCGCAGCAUGGUGGGACAAUUACUUGGUCACUUAUCCUAUUGCUACUAUCACUUGGGCGCAGUUCCAGGCAGGUUUUCGCGCGGCACAUGUGUCUGCUGGAGCCAUGAGUCUAAAGAAGAAGGAGUUUCACAGCUUGCGCCAGGGAGGUCGUACUGUGAAUGCAUAUGUGGAGGAAUUCAAUAAUCUUGCACGCUAUGCCCCUAACAAUGUUAACACCGAUGCAGCUAGACAAGAAAAGUUUCUUGAAGGUCUGGAUGAUCAGUUGAGUGUUCAGUUGACAGUGGCAACAUUCAACAAUUGUCAGGAGCUUAUUGAUAAAGCUAUUGUACUUGAAGGAAAGUUUCAAGAAGUGGAGAACCGCAAGAGGAAGGCAAGUGACACAGAGUUCAACUCUGGAGGAUAA